GACGUCGAUAUUCGACGUCAUAAGCACCAUCAAGUUUGGUGUUUAUGACGUCGAUAUUCGACGUCAUAAACACCAUCAAGUUUGGUGUUGAUGACGUCGAUAUUCGACGUCAUAAACACCAUCAAGUUUGGUGUUUAUGACGUCGAUAUUCGACGUCAUAAACACGAUCAAGUUUGGUGUUUAUGACGUGGAUAUUCGACGUC
rnacentral:miRNA from 1 species